GCACACACGAACACACGAACACAAGGCAGGUGGAGCCAGACAGCAGAGACAAAAAUCCCAGAAUGAAGGAAACGCCGCUGCAGCGCUAAACCAGUGUCGCUUCCUGUCUGGCCUCGGAGCUUUUCGCGGUUCCUAUUCAAUGACGGACCCACUCGACGAGUCAACAAUAGGGGCUGGUCGUUCCUAAACAACGGGGGAGGACUCCUACGGCCGCGCACGAUAUCAUUAUAUUCUUAUAGCUGUGUUCGACCCAACGAAAGUUUUCAGAGUUUGGGCGAUUUGUGUCCUGUUGACAACUUACUGCUUGUCUUUGACGCAGGGGAAAAAUCGUCCUUUGUUUCCGACUUAAAGUUGAUACUCGUGUGAUCGCUUUUGGGGAAAACGAUUUCGUGCUCGUGUGUGCAACAUUGUGCUAUUCGGCUUAUUCAAGAAUUUUGUAACUGAAUUCCUAACUGUUGUGAAUUUAUUGUGAUUUGUUCGAAUUGCUAUCCUGUGCGCUGUUUUGGAUUUCACCAAUCAAAAGAUCUACCGUGAUUUUUAUUCACGUGAGGAAAAAGUGGGAUCUCAAACCAAACAACACAGGCUUAAGCGUUUGGUUCUCCAGAUUCUUCUUUAUAGUUUCCCGUUAAGUUUACGAGUUUUUUCCUCGUUCGGCCGAGUAUGGCUCCACUCUAACUCCGAGAUUCCCCGGUCCAGGUGACAGAGACACGCUGUGAGGCUGUUGUUGGGUUGACAGAGGGGGUCACCGAUGACAUCACGCGUGUAGGUUGUACAAACGUAGUGGACCUUGUGUUUUAGGACCUUCUGGCUUGUGUGUGAGGGGGACGGAGCCUGCUGGUGUGACAACGCGGUCCACAUAAAAUUAUAUUUAAUUCUCCGUGCUCUAAUAGUCGUGAUCUGCGCUCUUCUUUGUGCUUGUUUCAGAGAAAUCUGUUUCUUAGAAGGAGUGUUUUAUUUAAAGUUGUCCAUUAUUUACUCGUGCUUGAUUUUUUGGAAAUGUUAUCUGCUGUGGAGUGGUUGUAAGAGGUUCAGUGAAUUUUUUUCUUACCUUAUGUGCGUGCGACACAAGUGUGAGUUUCAUUGAUUAAUCUCUUAUAAAGUGUCGAAUUUCAAAAUACACUGGAUUUAGCCGUUUAUUUUCAGUGAAAAUUAAAAGUGUUUCUUACAGAGCGGACUAACGAAACAGAAUGACCAUGCAAUCUGAAGUCAUUGCCGGGACUAAUUGCGCCCAGCAGCCACCUCCUACUGUUGGUCUAACAGUCGUACACACUCCAGGACACACUGCCGUACACACAACAGAACGCAGCACGCACAGCCUACUGGAGAGCAAUGCUUAUCACCAACAACAGCAGGCCAAAAAAAUGGCCGUAGCUGAUAACCUGAUCUGCAGAGCACAGCCAAAGAUUGAGCACUCUGCUGACGAGCCGGAUUCCGCCCAAACUGCGCACGGCACAGCGGAUCUCAGUAACUGUGUCGUCACUUCCGGAUCCCCGGCUGUGGCACCGACAUCUCCCGGGAUGCUGCGUAAUGGCUUGCCCUGUGACCUCGAGG
rnacentral:lncRNA from 1 species